CACCAAGGACUUCAUUCUGAAAUUUUUUUCUGAAAGUUUCAUCUGCACUCUCUAUCUCAUACUGAGAAGCUUCAAAUUCAUCAUUAUUGAUGUGAGUGUCUGCUUCAUUCACAGAACCCUUAAUUCCUUCCAGGAACUCCAAACCAAAAUCCAUGGAAGACAAAAGACUAACUGCUUUUCUAUCAUCUUCUUCUACAUCCAAGACCCUUUUACAAGAUGGGUACAUAUUGUCAAUCUCAUCAAAAAUAAUAAUUACAAACUAAGUAAUCAAUUUUCUUCAUAAUUUAACUGAAAAUUACUGAACAAAUUACCUUUUCUCUCUGUUUUUUCUUAAACUUUUCUGAAUUUCUUUUAAGGGAGGCGCCCACCAAGGACGCCUCCACCACCGGUGGAGGCGUCCUUGGCAGGCGCUCCACCACAUGGUGAGGCGCCUGCCAAGGACGCCGCCACCGGUGGUGGGGCGUCCUUAGUGGGCGCCUGCCAAGGACGCCGCUACCGGUGGUGGGGCGUCCUUAGUGGGCGCCGCCUUAUUUUUUUGAAUUUUUUUUUUUAAAAAAAGAGGAGGCGUCCACCAAGGACGCCCCACCACCGGUGGCGGCGUCCUUGGCAGGCGCCUCACCAUGUGGUGGAGCGCCUGCCAAGGACGCCUCCUCUUUUUUUUUUAAAAAAAAAAUUUCAAAAAAAGGGAGAAAAAACAAAGAGAAGGUAGAGAGAAGAAGGUGGUGUCUGUCGGAAAUGAGGUGGUGGUGCUGCUGGUGGUGGUCUGCCAGGGGUAAGGUGGUGGUGGUGGUGGUGGUGGUGUGGCAAGGUGGACGGAGUGGUGAGGCAGGGUAAAAAAAAUCAUCACUGCCUUGUAUCUAAAAAAGAGAAUGACAAGGUGGGGGAGGGGUUAAGGGGAGGAGAGAGAAAAAAAUACAAAAUAUAAAAAUACAGUAUAAAAAUACUGUAUUUAGGGCGUUAGUAGGAAAAUUUAGGGCGUCGUUUAAUAAAUGAGUUUAUUUUUUGGACUUAACGCUUCUAUCGUUGUUGUUGUAGUGAUUGAUGUUUUUAUUGUAUUUGGAUGAGUUCUAAUUUUAAUUGGGUUUAAUUUGAAAUUUUGGGAAACUUUUUGCAGAUGAUUUCCAACAGUUUGAGCGAUAAACUCCUUAAGGAAGCGUUUAAACAGCAAAAGGAAAUUGUUGAUGAAGAAAAUGAAGAGCAAAACCCUGCUAUUCUUAAUUUAUCUGCUGUUCAACUUUCACUACAUGAUGAAGAAGAAGACAUUGAUGAAUUUGCUGGUUUCUAUGAGACACAAAGCCAGUUUAAUGAUUAUGAGGUCUCAAUUUCUCGGAAAUCAAAAUGUAAGUGAAAAUUGAGGCGCACAUCCGACCACGGGCCAACACUAGCACAGUGCACCCACCAUAGAAACAACCGUCGUCCACCAGUGGUUAUUUUUCGCCCUCUCACCUAUUCUUCGAUUUUCGAAAUCAAUUUGUUGUAGUUUUCAGUUUUAUAGAUUUCAGCACAAAAUUCCUGCCAUGCUUAAAGAUAGUGCAAGUAUCUCUCAAACACCAAUAGCAAGUCUAGUGAAGGUACGUCAUCCAAGCUCGAAAACGGAACAUGUAGAGCAGGAUUUGCAAGGGAAAUUCAAAUUGAGGCUGCUAGGAAAAUGCAUGCAUAUGGCGAGAUGAUGGAAGAUGGCGAAGAGAUAUACCACUAUUAGAUCUAGCUUUAGAUUAUCAUGACUAUGUUGCUUGUUGGAUGAUUUAGAUUUUGUAUUGAGCAUAAUAUUAUUUUUCAUUAGUUUAUCUAUGAAAAUAGCACGAAUACUUGUAUAAAAUUAUAUCAUCAUUAUAAUAUAAUUGCCAAUUUAUAUAUCAAUUUUGUAUUUU